GUAAACUCAAAGGAAAAUCUAAAAAGUUGAUUGAAAUAUGUCCAUCAUCGAAUACGACGCUGGUGGUAUCCUAUACUAACAUAGAAGAAAUGUCGCAUCCGCUUGCAACGGAUAGGCUCUUUGCCACGAAGGAAAGGAUGCCAUAUUGAAUUUCCUGCUAGCUUUGUGAAAGAUUUUCUAAAUGUUCAAUCAGACGAUGUUUGAAA
rnacentral:misc_RNA from 1 species